UACGUAGGGGGCUAGCGUUGUCCGGAUUUAUUGGGCGUAAAGAGCGUGUAGGCGGCCAGGUAGGUCCGUUGUGAAAACUCGAGGCUCAACCUCGAGACGUCGGCGGAAACCCUCUGGCUAGAGUCCGGAAGAGGAGAGUGGAAUUCCCGGUGUAGCGGUGAAAUGCGCAGAUAUCGGGAGGAACACCAAAUUGCGAAGGCAGCUCGCUGGGACGUCACUGACGCUGAGACGCGAAAGCGUGGGGAGCAAACAGGG
rnacentral:rRNA from 1 species